AAUAACGAAGUAGAACAAUUCUAAAUUUAGCCUAAUAUAAAUAUGUGUAUGUAUGUAUGUGUUUGUGUGUAAAUACAUACAUUUAUUUUAUAAUUCAUUGCUUUUGCAACCGUUUAUUUGCUUGAGCUUCGUUUUACUGUAAAUAUUUGUUUUACUGCUUUUGCAGGCGCAAUUAACUAUGCUGUUGCACUGGUACCAUUGCCGAUCGUGCGCGUAAUCAAUGCAGUGGUUUUGUUUUUGUUAUCCGAAGUAAACAAUAAAACACAAACAAGAAAAUAAACUUGUUUAAGUGAGAGAAAGUGAAGCAAAGAGUUUUUUCUGUUGCGUUGUUGUUGUUCUUGUUGUAGUUUUGAACUUAUGAGAGCUAAUCGACUGUGCCACUACAGCCAGCAGUAAAUGAAUUCCACAUGAUGUGGUAUUGAUGUAGUACCAAAAAGAUUAUUACUGGCAUCCGUGUGUCGUGAGCAUAAAGCAAAAUUUUCUUUCAGACUCAUUUGGUUCUCAAGAUUUUAAUCAAAUUAAACUUUGUGGGAAUAAAAUGAAAUGAAUACGCCAACCAGCAGAAAUGCCAUUUUAACCAGAAGGUGAAGAAGCGACGUGAAAGAAGAAAAACACUAACAACGAUAGUAACACCUACAAAUAAACCGACAAAAACAAUAGGAACAAACGUUUUCAGCCAGACAGAAACAGAAUAUGCAGAAACAUAAGCAGUUAAACAGACAGACAUGCGGACAAACAGACAGACAGACAUACACCUGUUAAGAAAUGCUAUUUAUGCAGAACGAAGCAAGAGCAGUAGCAGUGCAGCGAACAACAACAACAACAACAACAACAAACAACAAGAACAAGAACAACAACAUUAUUAAGUCGAAUGAGUUGAAACGAGUUCAUAAGGGUGAAAUGCAAAAAUAUAUUCCCAGGAUGCGCAAGACAAAAGGAGCUCAGGAGUUAUGAAUUUCAUAUACAUAUACAUAUGUACAUCCAUAUUUAUAUGAGAAGGAAUUAUAGCAUAAAAAAUGUAUUUUCUUUUACAGUAAAAUUCCAAAGAUCGCAGCGUUAUCGAAAAAUGAUGAUCACACUUUCAGCGUGCGAAUCAAUCUACAUGGUUAGGGAUAAAGGACAUUUAAAUUCUGGAGUCCUCACAAAAAAAAAAUAUAUAUAUUAAAAAUGAUUUGUAUAAUGAAAAUUGUAAACUGAUAUUUCAUUAUUUUUUGUGUCUGUGAAAAGUGGAAAAAAGAGCCAAAUACCGCUAAAAAGAUGAGUGAGAUACUUCCGUCUGUACUCCCAUGGAUGUUGCGGAAGUUGUUGCAAAUAAUUAUGGGUAUUGACAACGAAAAGAGGGAAAGUGAGUGUAUGUUGUGGAAUAUAGUUUUUUAAAAAUUGAAACAUUCAUGAAGUUGUCAAGAUACUGUAAAGAUACGGUAUGAUAUAUUAAUAUAUACCACAUAUUAUAAAAUAUCAU